AUCAUUUCUUGGCCUUUUGGCUAAGAUCAAGCAUAGUAUCCGUUCGUAUCAGUUUAACAUCUGAGAUGUCUAUCCGAGGACAAUAUAUUAAGUGGAUUUUUGGAGCAGGGGAUGGAGUAGGAGCUUGGUCCGUCCACUCCAGGCAUCAGCUGGGUAUUGCAGUACCACUGGGAAUGGUGCGCUCCGA
ensembl:snRNA U2 U2 spliceosomal RNA